AUUAAAGUGACAGACAUAAUGUAAGGAAUUUAAGCUUCCUAAAUGAAUUCAUUUCCUUUAAUA
rnacentral:tRNA from 1 species